rnacentral:tRNA from 1 species
CGCGGGGUGGAGCAGUCUGGUAGCUCGUCGGGCUCAUAACCCGAAGGUCGCCAGUUCAAAUCUGGCCCCCGCAACCA